UUCUCUCUUUUCUUCUUCUUCCUCCCCCAACGUGAAGGUCCUCUCUGUGUGCCCUAAUAGCUGUCGACUGUCUCCUCUCCAGCCGACACUGCACGCGUCCAACCGAGCCGUCACCAGUUCGCUGGUUGUUCGUUCGUGGGUCGUCGUUCGUGCAGGUCGGCUCGAUCUCGUCAGCAAGCAGCGAUCGUCCAGAUCUCCUUCGCCGCGCGCCGAUCUCACCGAGCCAAUCAUAUUCGCAUCCGCGCCGCAAACCGCUUGAUCGUCGCGUGCCACGCCCGUCUCCCAGCAGCUCGAGCCGCUGCCAUGAGAUCCAGCCACGCCGGACCUAUUCAACGGAGUCGUCUGCGUUAAUGGUGUCGUCGUCGUCGCCUCAAGCCGAUCUUCUCUACCACCUAUUGCCGCACCGCCCAACCCCUGUUGCGCGGGUCUUCAUCGAACGAUUUGGGUAAGAGUAGGGACGCGCCGAUGAAUGACAAGCAGAAUUCGUGAUCGAGCCACUGGGACCAGUUUUAUGCUUCUGCUCAUGGUGUUUAGAUUUCUUUCACGUUUUUUCAACUUUCAGUCUUCAUGUUUGAAACUUAAUGAUUAGUAUUUGUUUCCAAACUUUUACAGUUUUCUAGACUCAUUAAAUUUCUAAUUAUGAUUUAUUGGUACCAUGUUAUUUGACUUU